CUCAUAGCUCAGUUGGAUAGAGCAACGGUCUUCUAAACCGUGUGUCGGAGGUUCGAAUCCCCCUGGG
rnacentral:tRNA from 1 species